UAGGCUGUCAUUGUAAAUAAGAAUUUGUUCUUAACUGACUUGCCUAGUUAAAUAAAGAUUGAAUUAAAAAUGUAUUUAAUAAAUGACCGGCAUUAAUUGGUUAAAUGUGACCUCUUCCAGGGGAGACUCACUUGGCUCAAUCAAAUCUCUCUCUGCUGUGAGGGGCAUUUCCCUAGCUCUGUGACAAGCUAAGACAGACAGAGACCAAAUGGUUAUAGCCAUGAUGGAACCUGCUUCAUUGCAAGUGAGCCAUGGGCAAGAGGAAGCACCAAUAAAUAGUACAGAAUAAAAUGCAAUACAACAUGCUUGGAGACCCGGGAGGGCCCUGGAUUUAGGCUAACCUGGCAGCAUUUUGGCCAGGGUGAAGAGGGUGGAGUCGUUGGCAACGAAGCAGGAUGAGAAGACCAAAGCUCCGUCUUUCUGGUGGAGCUGGGAC